AACGAACGCUGGCGGCAUGCCUAACACAUGCAAGUCGAACGAGACCUUCGGGUCUAGUGGCGCACGGGUGCGUAACGCGUGGGAAUCUGCCUCUUGGUUCGGAAUAACUUCGGGAAACUGAAGCUAAUACCGGAUAAUGACGUAAGUCCAAAGAUUUAUCGCCAAGGGAUGAGCCCGCGUAGGAUUAGCUAGUUGGUGGGGUAAAGGCUCACCAAGGCGACGAUCCUUAGCUGGUCUGAGAGGACGAUCAGCCACACUGGGACUGAGACACGGCCCAGACUCCUACGGGAGGCAGCAGUGGGGAAUAUUGGACAAUGGGCGAAAGCCUGAUCCAGCAAUGCCGCGUGAGUGAUGAAGGCCUUAGGGUUGUAAACUGCUUUUGACAGGGAAUAAAAGACCAUGCGUGGUAAAUUGAAUGUACCUGUAGAAUAAGCCACGGCUAACUACGUGCCAGCAGCCGCGGUAAU
rnacentral:rRNA from 1 species